GCGUUUGUGGUUUAGUGGUAAAAUCCAUCGUUGCCAUGAGAGUUAUGUUUAAUAUGUAAUUCUUCAACAUCGAUGGGCCCCGGGUUCGAUUCCCGGCGAACGCA
rnacentral:tRNA from 1 species